rnacentral:rRNA from 1 species
UACGGAGGGUGCAAGCGUUAAUCGGAAUUACUGGGCGCAAAGCGCGCGUAGGUGGCCAAUUAAGUCAAAUGUGAAAUCCCCGAGCUUAACUUGGGAAUUGCAUUCGAUACUGGUUGGCUAGAGUAUGGGAGAGGAUGGUAGAAUUCCAGGUGUAGCGGUGAAAUGCGUAGAGAUCUGGAGGAAUACCGAUGGCGAAGGCAGCCAUCUGGCCUAAUACUGACACUGAGGUACGAAAGCAUGGGGAGCAAACAGG